AUCUUGUGAACAAGUAUCAAUGAAAGACAAACUUCGUAUAAUCUUCAGACUGAGGACAGUGGUGAGAUGAAAGACGUGAACUGGUAUCCGAUGUUAAUACACAUGCAUGCUCUGCUGUAAAAUCGUUUUGGUAUGUGAUUUCUUGGUUGGAUCUUGAGUACUUGUCAUGGCUCUUGAUUUAUUUUGGAGUGUUCACCAUCAGAUUAGAAGUCAAAUAGUGAUACCACCAGGCAUAGUUGAAAGGAAAUGUCCAUACACAGUCUUGGAGUACAUAGUGGUAGAGACAUGGCAGUCCAUUACAGAUUUUGACUGAAUUAAAGCUUCUUAAAGCUCCAUGUCUUGUGUAAACUGUCUGACUGAAUGUUUGUAUUCUAAUAAAAACUAAGGUUGAAGACACUUCAAAGAUAUAUGUCAGUGUAGAAAUGUUAUUUAAACAAAAUAUCUGUCUUUGUUAGAAAUAAAUAACCUGUCUUUAUUAGAAAUAAUUAACCUGUCAUUUGUAACUUUGUAUUAACUUAAUUAUUCAAAGAUAAUUUAUCUUCUGCAAAUGGCUGCCCAAAACAGUUUCAACCAGGCAUCAUGUAGUUUCAAAACAGUUAAGAUAAAUUUGUUAUAAAUAGACUUGUAAAGUAACAGGAAUGGUAAAAAGAUAAAUGUUCAGCAUUAAAAUGUUUCUAUCUUGAUUGAGCUUCAUUUCAUAUUAUCACCAUAAUCACUGCAAUUGUAAAAGUAAUGUAAUCUUUAACCAUUAUUUAAAUAUCAUAAAAAUCAUCUCAAAGAAAAACUUGUUUCUGAGGCAAGAUGUGUAAAAUUCCUUCCAGUUAUAGCCUUUCACUGCUCUUAGAAAAGCCAUGCUUUGCAUUGUACAUGGCAGGUAGUAAUACCAGAGUAAACAAUAUUAAUGCAAUUCAUCUGUGUUGAGUAUUCUGUAGCAAAACACUAGCUUGCUAGCCCUUGUAAGCCCAAGUCUCUCUCUUAAUUGGAGAAGACUUGCAAUUCUGCAUUCCUUGAAGAUUUUAGUAUCAGAGGGGUAGUUAUUACAUACCAUAUACUUCUUUGGGUUUCAAAUUACCUGUUUUAUAAUGUAUUGAACCUGUUGACAUUUGACCAAAAGUGAAUUAUCUAUACAAUACAUGCAAAACUUAGGGUUUGCACUUGAUACAAAACAAUUACAUCACUGAUACAUUAAUAUACCCAUUGGAACUGUUUCAAAAUUGUCAAU